GAUUAUAAUUUUAAGUCAAAUYUGCUCCMUGAAUUAAAAUUUAAAUAGCUGCAGAAUUUUAACUGUACAAAGGUAGCAUAAUCAAUAGUUUUUUAAUUGAAAGCUGGUAUGAAUGAUUUAAUAAGGUAAAUAUUGUCUCAAAUUUAAUGAUUAUAAAAAUUUUUUUUUUGUUAAAAAGCAAAAUUAAAUUUAAAAGACGAGAAGACCCUAUAGAUUUUUAUAAUUUUAUAUUAAAGGUAUUAAAAUAAAAAAAAAAUAAGUUUUAAUAUAUAAUUAUUUGGUUGGGGAAAUUAUUAAAUAAAAUAAAUUUUAAUUUUAUUAUUAAACAAAAAUUAUUGAAUUUUUGAUCUUAUAUUAUAAAUUAAAAGAAUAAAUUACCUUAGGGAUAACAGCGUAAUUUUUUUAGAGAGAUCAUAUUGAUAAAAAAGUUUGCGACCUCGAUGUUGAAUUAAGAUAAAAUUUUAAUGAAGAAKUUAAAAA
rnacentral:rRNA from 1 species